GAGUUUGAUCCUGGCUCAGGAUGAACGCUAGCGGCAGGCCUAAUACAUGCAAGUCGAACGGUCGUAGCAAUACGAUAGUGGCAAACGGGUGCGUAACGCGUAAGCAACCUGCCCACAACUGGGGGAUAGCCCGGCGAAAGCUGGGGUAAACCCGCAUAGUCCCUUUGGCUCACCUGGGUUGGAGGGUAAACAUUGAUGGGUUGUGGAGGGGCUUGCGUCUGAUUAGCUAGUUGGCGGGGUAAGGGCCCACCAAGGCGAUGAUCAGUAGGGGUUCUGAGAGGAUUGGCCCCCACACGGGUACUGAGAGACGGACCCGACUCCUACGGGAGGCAGCAGUAGGGAAUAUUGGGCAAUGGAGGCAACUCUGACCCAGCCAUGCCGCGUGCAGGAUGAAGGCGCUCAGCGUUGUAAACUGCUUUUAUCUGGGAAGAACUGCAGGGGUGCGCCCUUGCUUGCCGGUACCAGAGGAAUCAGCACCGGCUAACUCCGUGCCAGCAGCCGCGGUAAUACGGAGGGUGCAAGCGUUGUCCGGAUUUAUUGGGUUUAAAGGGUGCGUAGGUGGUUUCUUAAGUCUGGUUUGAAAGCAGGCGGCUUAACCGUGUGAUGUGGCUGGAAACUGGGAGACUUGAAUGGGUUGGCGGUAGCUGGAACGGGUCAUGUAGCGGUGAAAUGCAUAGAUAUGACCCAGAACCCCGAUUGCGAAGGCAGGCUACUACGACUUGAUUGACACUGAGGCACGAGAGCAUGGGUAGCGAACAGGAUUAGAUACCCUGGUAGUCCAUGCCGUAAACGAAGAUUACUGGCUGUCUGCUCGAUAGAGUGGGUGGCUGAGCGAAAGCGUUAAGUAAUCCACCUGGGGAGUACGCCGGCAACCGGUGAAACUCAAAGGAAUUGACGGGGGUCCGCACCAAGCGGUGGAGCAUGUGGUUU
rnacentral:rRNA from 1 species